rnacentral:lncRNA from 1 species
AGGCACGAUAAUUAAAAUCAAAGAUGAAUGCUUUUGUCCAAGACUUUGUUGCUACAAAUUUAAGUCAUCAUGUUCGUGACGUUGACAAAUACGGGAAUGCAAUUCACUGGACCAAUCUUGGAAUAGUGAAAGCCCAUGAAUUAGUGGAUUAAUCUUUUAUGUAUCUUAUUAUUAUUAUUUACUUAAUUCUCAUUGGUUGGGACACAUCACUUAUAAGUUAAGUAAUUUUAUUGGUUAGGUUAUUAUUUAUUUAUUUUCUUAGAUAAUUUUAAAUAGUUUUAUUAGGAUUCAAUUACUCUUGAAAGAGUUUUAUUAGGAUUCAAUUACUCUUGUAAUUUGCCUAUAAAUAGGCUUACUUUCUACACAUUGGGGGGAAUAAAAAAAAUAGAGUAUUUGUUUUCUUCCAAAUUUGUGUGAGGUAAAUUUUUUAGAGUAGAGUGAUUCUUCUCUUGCUAUUUAGUUUGGAGUUUGUUACUUUCGAGGAUAUUUCGGAGUUACAAAUAUUAAAGUUUCUUUCUCGUUCGUCGAUGUUUCUAGAGGUUCUUCUUCUAGGGGUUUCAUAGGGAGCCGCUCAAUCAUUGGCGUUUUUGGUUACAAGUUAACCAAGGGUUCCAUAGGGCAAAUCUAUCGUUAUUAUUAUUAUUUAACUAAUUUUAUUUAUUCUCAUUUUAUUUCUAAUUUGUGUUUCUCUUGUGUCUAGAUCCGGGAUUUCCGCAUCAAUUGGUAUCAGUAUCAGGUCAUUCAGUGUUAUUUUUGAAGCUAAAAUCAUAUCCGAAAUGAGUCAAAAUACCAAAAACACUUCUCAUUGGUUUUGUCGAUUUUUUUCUCCUCUUAUUCUUAAAAAAAAGAAGCAAAAAGCGCAAAAAAACCGCAAAAAAAAGUUGCCUACCUUUCAUACGUAGGUUUCUUCUUUUCCUAUUAUUGUUAUUAUUUUUAUUUUAUUUUUCCCAAAAUUAAAUUUCUUUUCCUUCUUCUUCUCUUGACUCAAGUAUAAUUAAAGCUUCAAUUUUUGAAAAUCUUAAGACACCAAAUGUUUCCGAAUUUUGUUUUGUUUUUUUUUAAAUUGGGUAGAGUUUUCUUAAGUGUUCUUCUUAUUAAAGCUUUUAUUUGACUCUAGAGUUAGGGAUCGUUGCAGGUCUAUGUUUUUUUUGUUUCUCUUACGCUUUCUAACACUUUGUUUCUUCUUGUGUUAGCAGAUAUUAAAGGCACGCACAAUUCCUUCAUCCGUGUAGCCUCCAUUACAAAUUGCCUCAUCAAGUUUAUUGGCCUCUUAGAGCAAUUAGGGUCUUCAUUGUUUCUUUGAAGUUUGCACCUCUGUUAUUUGAUCUUGAUUAGUAACCCUCUCCAAACAUAUUUACAAGUUUUGAAUCAUUCAGAGAGUUAUUCUUUUGAGAGCUAAUGAGUGAGGUUAUUAUUAUUUUUUCUUUCUUGUUCCUGUUUGUUUGAUCUUUCACAGAUAGCAUGCCACUCACUAGAUCCCAAACUAGUAAAAAUGAAGAGGAUGAGCAAAAAAGAGAGAACGAUCCUUUGGUCGAGUUGUUACAAAAAGAGAUGAAAAAGUUGCAAACUCAAUUCGAACAUCGCAUGACCCAGAUGUUACAAGAGCAAAGGGAGUAUCUUGAUACAAAACUUACAACUCAAGAGAGAUACAUUGCCGAUAAUUACAAGAAGUUGAACGAAGCCUUUAUAAGCCGAUCAAAUUUAGAAGAUCGAACUUUUAAACGAAAGGAGGACCAUGUUUUUGAUGAUAACUUUGAGUCCGAGUAUGUACCUAGAGAAAGAUUGGAACGAAACAAUGACACCCCAAACCAAAAUUUCCUUCUUUCUCAGGGAAGAAUGAUCCUGAUGUUUACCUUGAUUGGGAGGAAAAGAUGGAAGCAGUCUUUGCUUGUUACAAUUACUCUGAUGAGAAAAAGGUAACAUACGCUGUCGCUGAGUUCAUUAAUUAUGCACUAACAUGGUGGAAUCAAUUAUGUAAAAGCAGGAUUCUUUAUAGAGAGCAACCUGUUACUACUUGGGUUGAAAUGAAGCGCAUCUUGCAAAAACGGUUUGUUCCACCAUACUAUUAUCGAGAACUCCAUCAAAGACUCCAACAUCUUGUUCAAAGAGAUAGAUCUGUGGAUGACUACUACAAAGAGAUGGAGACUAUUCAGAUUAGAGCCAAUCUUGUUGAAGAGGCUGAGGUGACUAUGGCUAGAUUUCUUGUCGGCCUAAAGCCUGAGAUUGCAAAUCGAGUUGAGUUACAACACUACAUGGAUGUUGAAAAGAUGCUUCAAACCGCACUUACCAUUGAAAAGCAAUUACAAAAGAAAGGGACAACGAGGGGUGUUAGUUCAGUUUCUAAUCUUGCUUAGAGAGGAAAUUGGCAAAAACAAGAUGAUAGAUUGUGGAAUGGGAGAAAUGCACAGUUCAAGCCAAAUGAUCCUAGAACUUACUCCAAAGAUAGAGGUAUGUCUAAUUCACUUAAAGGUUCUACUUCUACUAAUUGAGCUCCAUCUUCUUCUUCUACUUCUCCUAGUGCCAUUAAGCAGCCAAAAGAUAUUACCUGCUUCAAAUGCCAAGGAAGGGGUCACUAUGCUCGAGAAUGCCAUAAUAAAAAGUCAUUGGUGAUUCGAGAAGAUGGCGAGGUUGAUUUUGAGUCUGAUAACAAAGAUGAGAUGCCUCAUUUGGAAGAUCUUGAUGAUGUGCAUACUCAUUAUGAGUAUGAAGAAUACUUGGAGCAUGGUGAGAAAGCACUUGUUGCUCGAAGGGCUUUAAAUGUCCAGUUUAAAGAGGAAGGGCGUGAACAAAGAGAUAACAUUUUCCACACUAGAUGUUUGAUUAGUGGACAACCUAGUUCAUUGAUCAUCGAUAGUGGAAGUUGCACCAAUGUGGUAAGUUCUUCCCUUGUUGAGAAACUUGGCCUACCUUGUGUGAAGCAUCCAAGGCCAUACCGCUUGCAAUGGCUGAAUGAUAGUGGGGAGGUAAAAGUAUCUAAACAAUGCUUAGUUUCAUUUUCCAUUGGCAGAUACUCUGAUAAAGUUUUGUGUAAUGUUGUUCCAAUGCAAGCUGGGCACAUAUUACUUGGACGGCCAUGGCAGUUUAAUCGACGAGUAAAUCAUGAUGGUUUCCUUAACUAAUAUACCUUUGUGUUCCUUGGAAAGAAGUUUACUUUGGCUCCACUUCCUCCUCAAGAAGUCUACAAUGAUCAACUCAAACUUGCUAGUGAGAUGGGUAAGGGAAGUGAGGUAAAAUCAUUGAAAAAGGCUGAGAGUAAAGAGGCCCUUAGUGUUAAAAGCCAACUUAAAGGCCCAACAUUGAUGAGUGAUUACACACACAAGUCACGAGAUAAGAAAGUGAGUUUAUUCGCUAGGUUUCGAGAUAUUAAAUUUGCUCUUUGUACAAAAUAAACAUUUGUAAUUAUUAGGUUUAGGGAAAACUUUGUUUUGACUAACCCUAAUACACAUUUGCCUAGUUGUUUUGUUGAUCUUUUACAGGAUUUUGAGGAUGUAUUUCCUUUUGAAAUGCCUAAGGGAUUACCUCCUUUACGAGGGAUUGAACAUCAAAUUGACUUUGUGCCUGGUUCGAGUAUUCCGAAUAGACCAGUCUAUCGAAGCAAUCCUGAAGAAAUUAAGGAGUUGUAAAGGCAAGUUGAAGAUCUCUUAGAGAAUGGGUUGAUUCGUGAGAGUCUAAGCCCUUGUGCGGUCCAUGUACUUCUCGUCCCAAAAAAAGAUGGUUCUUGGAGAAUGUGUGUUGAUUUUUGUGCUGUCAACAAGUUUACGGUAAAGUAUCGAUAUCCAAUUCCUCGAUUAGAUGAUAUGUUGGAUGAGCUGAAUGGUGCAUACAUUUUCUCUAAAAUUGACUUAAAAAGUGGUUACCAUCAAAUAAGAAUGAAACAAUGUAAUGAAUGGAAAACUGCUUUUAAAACUAAGGGCUAGUUUGGAUGGGUGGUGUGUUUACCUCCGGUGAGGUUAAAAACAGCGGUGGCGGUGAGAUUAGUUACUGUAGCGAUGAGAUUGGAUACUGUAGCGGUGAGAUUAGAAACAAUGGUGGAGUGUGUGUUUGGAUUCAAACGCAGCUGUAGCGGUGAGGUGAGAAUAAGAAAUGACUAUUAAGGACAUCAGAUUAGAAUUGAUAUAUAAUAUAAGUUUUUUAAAUUAUUUUACUUUUUUAAAAUUAUUAAAAUAUGUGAAUUUAUAAAUUUAUUUAAUAAAAUAUUAAAAUGUAUCUUCCAAUAUUUUAAUGAAUUAUAUAAUUAAUUUAAAUUAUUUAUUAGAUAAAAUGAUAAUUAUUUUUAAUUUUUUAUAGUUAAAUAGUUUUUUUAUAACAAUAAUAAAUAUUAUUUUCACAAAUAGUAACAUUAUACUUGGAUAAAAUUUUGAAGUAUCGAAAAGGAUGAUUUUUAAUAAAAAAAAUAUAAUAACAUAAGACAUAACAAGUUUCAUUAUUACUAGAAAUUAGGUUAUGAUACAAAAUGUUUUUACAAAUAUGGAUUCAUUAAACUAGUUGCAAUGGUUUCCCUUAACAUUGUGAUUUCAAGGUCACUUUCUCUGAUAGAAGAACUCGAUUCACCUCUGUCAAACUGGCUUGAAGAGACUGGCAUAUCGGGUAUAUUCUCAAAUUCUCAAAAAUCCUCAUCAUUUGACCAAGCAUGUCUUCGAAUGUAAUUAUACAAAACCAUUGUUGCAAUAACUAUUAAAACUUGCUUGUUGAAUGAAUAACUUGGAAUAUCUCUUAAUAUUGGCCAUUUUUUUUUCGCACUCCAAAUGUUCGUUCAAUCACAGAGCGUAACGAAGAAUAGGCAUGGUUAAAGAUUUCUUUUUUUCCAGAUACUUGAUGAUUACCUCGACGAAAAUCAGGUAAAUGAUAUCAUUCCCCCCUAUAUGGACCUAGAAAACCUGUCAUUUGUGGAUAUCCUGAAUCCACAAGAUAAUAUUUUCCUACAAAAAAGUAAAACAUAAUAUCAAGUUUAAAAAUAAUUUAAAAAUUUUAAUAUUUUUUAUGUAAAAAAGUAAUUAAAAAUUUAAAGUUCAACCUGGUGGAGGGUGUGGAAACUUCAACUCUUGUUUUCUGAGUGCUUGCAAAAAAAUUCUACUAUCAUGUGCUGUUCCUUCCCAACCAGGAAAUGCAAAAAUAAAGCACAUGUUGAAGUCACAGACUGCCAUAAUAUUUUGAGUUGGUUCACCUUUUCGUCCAAUAUAAGGUAUUUGACAGGAAGGCGAAAUGCAUGCUUUUAUGUGUGUCCCAUCUAUGGCCCCAAUAAAGUCUUUUAAAAUAAAUACAAGUAAUAAGAUAAAAGUUAGAAAUAAUUUAUAUUUUAAAAAUAUAAAGAUUGUGUAAAUAUUACCUUAAAGUGAGGCCAAUAUCUUGUAUCAUGUCGAAUAUGGUUCGGUACUUCCUCGAAUUGACCUUCAGUGGGUUUAAUCGUGUCUAUUCCCAUUCGAGCAAAUAUAUGCAACAUAUCAAUAAAAAUUCGACUAACAGUUUCCUCAGAUCGUUGAAAUCGCUCUGUUGCAUUUGAAUUUGAUUCUCUAUUUCCAAGAAUGUACAAUGAUAAUGCUAACUUCUCCAUCGCCGAUACUUUCCCAUUCUUUAAGCCAUAAUUUGUUUGCAAAUCAUGCAACAAGAUGUGAAAUAUAUCUUUUGGCAUCCUAAAACUAUUCAUGCAACGAUCAUCAUGCCCAUUUAAUACUUCGUCCACCCACAUUUGACCUGUAUAAUUUGAAUCCAUAUGCGGUUGCAUAGUGAAAUAAGUUUCAUGGUGUACCAAUACACUGCUUAACACAUAUUCUUCCUCUUCAUGAUAAUUGUUGUUCUCAACUUGGGUAACAAUUGUGGCUAUUCUUCGUUGAGCUUCUUCACUUAAUUCAGGGGUAUCAUAAUUCAUAUAAAAACUAUUAUACAUAUUGUUAAAUUCAUCCAUAACCUGAAAAAGUAAUCAAAUGAAAAUAAAUCCUUUAAAAUCUCGUGACAUUCUAUACAACACAGAAACUUGAUUAAAAGUAUAGCAUAAAAAUACCAAACAUAAAAAGUAUCAUACAUUAGUUUUACAUAUAAAAAAGUAGUAUAGUUAUAUUACAAUAAUAAUUCUAAGGAGCUUAUGGUGGAGGUGGUUGAUGGUAUGGUUGGAACGGAAAUGAGGAUGUUGCUGCCAUGGAUGAAAAUGAUGCAAUUGGAUUUUGUUCAUCAUACUCACGUCGAAGCCACCAAACCCUAUCAUCUGGAUCUAAGUUCAAAAACAAUUCUCGUUUCACCGGUAUUUGGAACAUUUUGGUGGCAAAAUAGUACAGUUCAUCUUUUUUUGGAAUUUCAUCUCCCAAAGCACGCAAAACAUCCAUUGCAUUUGAAAUAGUAUAUUGAGAGUGAGGAAAAAUAAUUUCAUUCACUGACUCCUUAGACUAGCCACACUCUCACACAAUUUCUCAAUCUGAUUAGUUAAUGUAUUUCUUGAUGAUUUUCUACUUGAACUUGAUUUUUUUCCUUUACCGUGUACAGCCCCAAGUGUUUGCUUUCUUCGAUUAGGAAUUUCAUGAGAAGGGUUUGAUGGUACCUCAUCAGGAGGAAUACAUUCAUUCUCAUUACUAUGUUCAUCUGAAUCACCAAAUCCCUUAUUAGGUGCAUCAUCUCCCAUAGGAACCCCACUCGGAAGAACACCAGACGAAGGUGCCCAUGCGUUCUCUCCGGUGGCUACAAUGCCACCAAACAUUUGCCACAUUAACUCAUUCAAUCGUGGCUCAAUUCCUUUCUUCUUAAAUCCUUUAAAAUCAGGAUUUUCCUACAUAACAUGCUAAAUAUUAAAUGUUAUACUAAGAUUUUUAUAAUUGUAAAUUAUUAAUUUCAAUAAACUUUAUGCAUUAAAAUAAUGAUAAAGUGAACACUAACCUGUAUUUUUGCUGCCCACCAUUCUUCGGUAGCAUCGACCGUCUUUUUAGUUGGACACUAUCCAAUACCUGUAGAUUCCUUAAGCAACUCCCUCCAUAACCUCCAUUCAUUUUUUAAUGUAUCCCACUUAUUUUUCAAUUGAGGUUUUUCAUAAUUUUUUUGUGUUUUUGCUUGAAAAGAGCAAUGACAUUUUCCCAUCCUUUUGAGUUUAGAUGAGUUGUCGGCCUAUUACCAGCAUUGACUUCAUUCACGCAAAGUUCACAAAAUAUCAACGUCAGCUCAUCAUCCCAAAUAGCUUUUUUUGCUAAGCUACUAUCUCCCUCCACAAAAUUUCGUGUCUUUACCAUCUAUUGUCAUUGGUAUAAUUCAGUCAAUGUGCUAGCAUUCACAAAGAAGCAUAGAGCAAAUUUAUAGUCUAUAAGUUAUAUUAGACAUCUCCCAAUGCUAAUAUUUAUCCAGCCACACCCAAAAAAAGCUGGCACCUUAAUUGGAAGCUUCAACUUAACGGAAAAAGGAAAAGAAAAUAAUAAAUAAAGAAAGAAAUAAAAAGAAAAUCUACCAAUCAAAACAACCAACAAACUAGUGAAGGCAAAGCUUCGCUUGUUUAGUUAUAAUUUUGUUGAGCAAGGAAGCUUAGAUAAUCUUUAGUUUGUGCUUAUGAUACGUCGCUCUGCUUAUGCAUCCAAAAAAAUGGGUCAACCCAAUUCAACCAACCCGAUUUCCUGUUCUCCCUCCGAUCUCUUUCGCACCGGUACUUCUCUCUUUCUCUUCUUUCUUUAAUUCUAAAUUUUGUUGGACUUGGAUUCGGCUUUUGAUUUCUUUUUUCCUUUGACUUUUUUUUUGUUUGUUUCAAACUUUUUUCACUGUUUGUUAGAUUGUUAAAUCUUAAGGAUAGAUUUGGUGUGAAUGCAGUCUUCUUAAGGCAGUUAAAUCUUAAAACCCUGUUCAAAAUCAGGUCCAGUAUGAGAAGUUAAAAUUUCUGCAAAAUCACUGACCGUAAUUGAGAAAGAAUUCUGUCUUGUUAUCAGUAUGUGCUGCAUCUAUGGUAUAUCUACAUUUUUUUAGUUUAAUUAUCUGUUGAAAAUGACAUUUGAAUUUUAUCUUUAUAGGAGGAAUGGCGAAGAGGAUUAAAAGCACUGAGGGUUGAUACUGUAAGUAAAUUAAAGUAGGCCCUCCCUGAGCUAGAAAAAGAGGUAGAAAUUUCUGAACUGCUUGAUACCUGAGGUCAAUUGACUUGUUACAUAUGUAUGAUUAUUAUGGUGGAAAAGUCUGCAAAAGUGGUGAUGCUCUCUUUUCAUAUUAUAAAUAGUCAGGAGACCAUCAAACUUUGUGGAUUUCUAUUCCUAUUCAUUCUGCUAUUGCUUGACAGGUAUUAUAGUAAUAAUGUGGCAUGUUACUUAGAUGUUUACAUUUUGUCCCUUUUUCCUGGUUGGGCCCCUACUUACUUUCUCAAAUUUACUGCUGCAGAGGAGAAACAAAAGAGUAUAGAUAUAGAAAGCAUAUGUCAAUUGUUGGAUCUUGUUUUAGGAUCCCAAUUCCGUGCACAGGUUGACUAUUUUAUUGAGUAUUUGAAGAUGAGUUGUGACAAUUAUUGCAUUUGACCUCUGGGAUUGCAUCUGUUUAUACUUUAUUUUCUUCAUUUCCUUUAUGAUGUUGUUUAUACAGGCACAACUUUAUCUGUUAUUUUGGGGGAUGAGUUUAUUUCAGUUUUAGCUUCUACGAUUGUAUAAAUGUAUAUGGAUAUGUUAGAAAGUCUUUUAAGUCUGUUGUCAGAUUGGGGAACAUUGUUACAGAUGGACUCUUCAAAAGUUUCUUCAGAAAAUAGGAUUGAUCCUCUAAUUUAAAUGUUUAAUCUUUUAGAUCAAAAGGUGUAGAAAUGAAUCUAAAAACUCUAUAAACUAGAUUACAGAGUAAGUUGCCUGUUGUUAUUGUGAUGCUAUAAUUCUGAACUUACCCUUCUAUCCUAACCUCAAAAAAAGAGGAAGAGAAAAUAUGCCUCAUACCAUGCUUGUUUUCUUAAUGUAGAUUCAGAGCGAUUAUAAGGUCAUAAACUUGGAUCAAUGGAUGGGCUUUUUUCGAUUCUGCAAUAAGGUACAUCACAGUUUAUCCUUGUUAUGGAACUUUUUAUUCUGCUCCCCAUAUUUAGAUGCUCUACCAUAAAAAAUAGGGUCAGCAAAUAAUUCUUUGAAUGUCAUGUCAGGCUCAGACAGAUAUCACUUUAAUUAAAAAAAUAAGAAUUUUUCCUGGAAUAAACUUGUUGAAUUAUACUAAAAUCUUUUAGAUAACGUUCUUAGUUAUAUGAAGACAUAAUGUCAAUUGGUAGUGUGUGGCAGAAUCCCCUUGGCAUACUUAUAGACUAAUAUAAGAGAGAAGACCAAAGAGGGUUCCCUCUCAUCCUGCAGGUUGUGGCUAAAAUUAAAUCCUUUAUCAUGAGAGUUUUAUUUAUCACUUUUUCGUUCUUUUCAUUUUCUUUCAUCCAUUUUUUGUAAUUAUUAUUCAUUUAUUGAUAAAAGUACAUAUAUUUUGGGCUGAAACUGAUUUCUAAACUGCUUGGUUUACUUUUUCUUGCAAACAUGGAAAUCAAUACAGAGAAUAACUCUCUUUGGCAUAAAAAUUGAGACAAAAUAAAUGGUAGGAAACUGUUGAUCUUUACAGUUCAAUGUUAUAAAUGACGGGUUGUUGCAAAUUGCAGUUCAAUUAUACAUGCAUGCUUGUGAAAUAUUAUUUUGUUAGUUCUUGGUUGGUUGUUUACUUGAUUGAAUCAAUUUGAACUUUUAACAGCUUCCUAGAAUAGCCCUAAAUUUUGAAAUAUGAUCAAUGGUCUUUAGUGAUAUCAGAUUAUGAAAGAAAGCCAAAAAGUAAACUAAAACUAAGUUCGUAUUGAAUAUUUUUGACUAGCUGAAAGAAGUUUAGUCUGAAGCCAUUUUAUUUUGCAUUCAACAUGUCAGCAACUGAAUCAGCAUCCAUUCUUCUUGCUGCAAGUAGUGGGUAAAUAGCUAUCCAUGUGUCCAAUGCAUGUGAGAGGCAGGACACGUUGUAACAUGUACUGCCACCUUGCCCUACGUGUCUACCUCACAACUCAAAUAGAAUAAAAUUCAGCCUAUACAACUGCAUGGGAGCACUUAUGACUAAAAAGAAAUGCAUGACUUGGCCUAUAGCUUAAGUUUAGGCUAAGCCUUUCUCUAGAAUCUUGGGAACCUUAGAACCUUUCUAUACAAGCUUUUGUUGUUUCGUUUGUUUAGUUGUGCUUUGUUUUAUUUUUGAUAGUUUUAGUUUUUGAGGGUUUGAGACAUGAAUACAGCAUUGCCUGAGAUGUUACAAUGUUCGGACUUGACAGUGCUCGAGAGGCAAAGGGCUCGCUUGAAAUGGCAAGAGGAACAGUUUCAGCAACAACAAUAACAGCAAAGCUAUUUCAGUGAGUUAAGUUGUGGGGUGUUUUCGAGCCAAACCAACCACAGUUUAGCUGAGAGAGUGAGUAUGAAUUUGCAUGUUUUUUUUUGUUGUUGGCGUGUUACUCGGUAAUAUGGAUGGUAUUAUUACUAAUUUGUUUUCUUAUUUUAUCAGGUCUCUUUCAUUAGAUAAUAAUGUUUUAAUUAUGUUGAUUUAUAUAGGUUAGAAGGGAGAAAAUCAGUGAAAGAAUGAAGUAUCUGCAAGAUUUAUACCAGGAUGUAACAAAAUCACAGGCAAAGCUGGUAUGCUUGAUGAGAUCAUCAAUUAUGUUCAAUCUCUUUAACGGCAAGUAGAGGUAAAAAAAAUAAUGGAGAAAGAACAUAUGGAUUUGUGUAUGAACACAAAAAUUCUUUUUCAUUUCUACUAAUUACUUAACUGCUUUAAGAUUUUUGUCCUCCAUGUGAGGACAUAUUUAUUUGUUGUUAUUUUCUUAGCUAAGAACAAGAUGAUAAGGAAAAACAGAAACAACUUUGAUACAAUUCAAACACAUAAAUAGAGUAGAAAAAGAAGGGCUUUGACUUACCAGAUCAAAGUUGAUAACAAGAUUGAUAGUAUGAGUCGAAAAAUAGAGCUUCUUUGAGUCUGCUGUGAGUGUCAAUUGAAGAGCAGGGGUUGAAGAGCAGAAAACGAGCAAAGUUUUCUACAAAUUGGGAAAGAAAUUAAUUUAAUUUUCAAGGAUAAAAUGGUAAAAUAAUAAAUAAAAGUAAGGGUGUUUUUGUCUGUUACAGUGCCAACAGCUCAGUUAAUUCAUCCACUGCUACUAUUUUCUCUAGCUGAAAAUCAGCUGAUCAGUGUGGUUGAAAAGAAACCCCACUGCAUUGACACUUGAAACCAAACAACACAGCCAUGAGUUUGGCACCAUCUUUUCCUUCAAAACGUGCCUCACUGCCUCAAUCCAAAUGAGCCCUAAGUAUGGCCUGUAUGAGUGGUUAGUCAUGCCAUUUGGCUUAACUAAUGCUCCUAGCACAUUCAUGAGAUUAAUGAACCACAUACUUAGACCUUUUUUAGGAAAAUUUGUCGUUGUGUAUUUUGAUGACAUACUGAUUUAUAGCAAAACUUUGAAUGAUCAUGUUGGGCAUGUUAAAUUAGUAUUGGAUGUGUUAAGGCAUGAACGACUCUUUGCUAAUCUUGAAAAAUGCACCUUUUGUAUGGAUAAGCUUGUUUUUUGGGGUUUUGUGAUAAGUUCUACAAGAAUCCAUGUGGAUGAGGAGAAGGUAAAGGCAAUUAAAGAAUGGCCUAUCCCUAAAGCUGUUUCUGAGGUAAGGUCUUUCCUUGGGUUAGCCGGUUUCUACCGCAGGUUUGUUCGUAACUUUUCCACAAUUGCUUUGCCUUUGACUGCACUUAUUAAAAAGGAUGUAUCUUUUCAUUGGACAGAUAAGCAAGAAUUAGCAUUUAAUGAACUUAAAGAUAAAUUGUGUAAUGCUCCUAUUCUUGUUUUACCUAAUUUUGAAAAAACCUUUGAGAUUGAAUGUGAUGCUUCUAGUGUAGGUAUAGGUGUCGUCCUCAUGCAAGAUAGUAAACCACUAGCCUACUUUAGUGAGAAACUUGGUGGAGCACAUUUGAACUAUUCGACCUAUGAUAAAGAGUUGUAUGCCUUGGUAAGGGCAUUAGAAGUUUGGCAACAUUACCUUUUACCAAAGGAGUUUGUGAUUCACACUGACCAUGAAUACUUAAGCACUUAAAGGGACAAGGUAAGUUGAACAAGCGACAUGCGAGGUGGGUCGAAUUCAUUGAAUCUUUUCUUAUGUUAUAAGGUAUAAGAAAGGUAAAGAUAAUAUUGUGGCUGAUGCUCUAUCAAGGAGGUACACUUUACUUAGUACUUUGCAUACUAAGUUAUUAGGUUUUGAGUAUCUCAAAGAUUUAUAUGCCACUGAUUCUGAUUUUGCAAGCAUUCAUGACGCAUGUGAACAUGGUGCAUUUCACAAAUUUUAUAAGCAUUAUGGCUAUCUUUUUCGAAAUAAUAGACUAUGCUUACCAAAGUGUUCAAUGCUAGAAUUGUUGGUUCGAGAGGCUCAUAGUGGUAGUCUUAUGAGUCAUUUUGGAGUCACUAAGACUUAUGAUGUUUUACAUGAGCAUUGUUAUUGGCCUAACAUGCGAAAACUUGUUGAGAAAAUUUGCUCUACUUGCAUUACUUGUAAACAAGCUAAAUCCACUGUGAUGCCUCAUGGUCUAUAUACUCCUCUUCCUGUUCCUAGUUCACCUUGGACUGACAUUUUAAUGGAUUUUGUAAUAGGUUUACCAAGGACAAAGCGUGGACGAGAUAGCAUCUUUGUGGUUGUGGAUCAAUUUUCUAAAAUAGCUCAUUUCAUUCCAUGCCAUAAGACUGAUGAUGCAACCCAUGUUGCCGAUCUAUUUUUCCGUCAAGUUGUGAGAUUACAUGGAAUCCCAAGGACUAUCGUUUCCGAUAGAGAUGCAAAAUUUCAUAGUCACUUUUGGAAGGUGUUAUGGGGUAAGUUAGGUACUAAACUACUUUACUCUACUACAUGCCACCCUCAAACUGAUGGUCAAACCGAGGUGGUAAAUCGAGUUUUGGGAUCUUUGCUUAGAGCCAUAAUAGGUAAGAAUGUUAAAUCUUGUGAAGAAUGGAUACCCUAUGUUGAGUUUGCUUAUAAUCGUUCUGUUCAUUCUUCCACAGGUUUUACUCCUUUUGAGAUUGUAUAUGGCUUUAAUCCACUUAUUGUUUUAGAUUUGCUUCCUUUACCUUUGAAUGAGAUUGCUAAUUUAGAUGGUGAAAGGAAAGCUGAUUUAGUGAAAGAGAUUCAUGAGAAGGCUCGUAAAGCCAUUGACAAAAAGAAUGAGUCCAAUGCAUAUCGAGCUAAUAAAGGGCGAAAGCAAGUCUUGUUUGAACUUGGAGAUUGGGUAUGGGUACAUAUGAGGAAGGAACGAUUUCCUUCUAAGAGAAAGAAUAAACUUGAUGCACGAGGGGAUGGACCAUUCCAAGUACUCGAGAAAAUAAAUGACAAUGCUUAUCGCAUUGAUCUUCCUGGUGAGUAUAGUGUUAGUGCUACUUUCAAUGCUUUUGAUCUUUCUCCUUUUGAAUUUGAUGUAGGUUCAGAUUCGAGGAGGAAUCUUCUUGAAGAGGGGGAGAAUGAUACGAGCCAAGGAGGUGACACUCAAUGGGUUGUUUUUCCUAGUGGUCCAAUCACUCAAAGCAAGGCACGACAAUUAAAAUCAAAGAUGAAUGCUUUUGUCCAAGACUUUGUUGCUACAAAUUUAAGUCAUCAUGUUCGUGACGUUGACAAAUACGGGAAUGCAAUUCACUGGACCAAUCUUGGAAUAGUGAAAGCCCAUGAAUUAGUGGAUUAAUCUUUUAUGUAUCUUAUUAUUAUUAUUAUUUACUUAAUUCUCAUUGGUUGGGACACAUCACUUAUGAGUUAAGUAAUUUUAUUAGUUAGGUUAUUAUUUAUUUAUUUUCUUAGAUAAUUUUAAAGAAUGUUAUUAGGAUUCAAUUACUCUUGAAAGAGUUUUAUUAGGAUUCAAUUACUCUUGUAAUUUGCCUAUAAAUAGGCUUGCUUUCUACACAUUGGGGGGAAUAAAAAAAAUAGAGUAUUUGUUUUCUUCCAAAUUUGUGUGAGACAAAUUUUUUAGAGUAGAGUGAUUCUUCUCUUGCUAUUUAGUUUGGAG